ACUUUGUACCUUGAAAGAUCCAAAUUGGAUUGGGAGUCCAGUUGUUAAUGUCUUCGGGCAAAUGCUAAUCCUCAAACAAAUAAAAAUAUCUGGAUCUAUAUCACGGCACUACUUUCCCACACACUUUGGGGAAAAGAUUGCUAAAGGAGGGACAAUAAAAGAUCUAGAACCUUACUAUUCAAGGGAGAAGCUAGGCUACAACUUGACU